CGGUGGAGCAUGUGGUUUAAUUUCGAUGCAACGCGAAGAACCUUACCUAGACUGACAUCCCGGGAAUUCUUAGGAACUAAGAAGUGCCUUUCGGGGAGCCCGGUGACAGGUGCUGCAUGGCUGUCGUCAGCUCGUGUCGUGAGAUGUUGGGUUAAGUCCCGCAACGAGCGCAACCCUUGUCAUUAGUUGCCAUCAUUUAGUUGGGCACUCUAAUGAGACUGCCGGUGACAAACCGGAGGAAGGUGGGGAUGACGUCAAGUCCUCAUGGCCCUUAUGGGUAGGGCUUCACACGUCAUACAAUGGUCGGUACAGAGGGUUGCCAAGCCGCGAGGUGGAGCCAAUCCCUUAAAGCCGAUCGUAGUCCGGAUCGUAGUCUGCAACUCGACUACGUGAAGUCGGAAUCGCUAGUAAUCGUGGAUCAGAAUGUCACGGUGAAUACGUUCCCGGGUCUU
rnacentral:rRNA from 1 species